UACGUAGGGGGCAAGCGUUGUCCGGAUUUAUUGGGCGUAAAGAGCGUGUAGGCGGCCAGGUAGGUCAGCUGUGAAAACUCGAGGCUUAACCUCGAGACGCCGGCUGAAACCCUCUGGCUAGAGUCCGGAAGAGGAGAGCGGAAUUCCUGGUGUAGCGGUGAAAUGCGCAGAUAUCAGGAAGAACACCAGUGGCGAAGGCGGCUCACUGGCCCGGUACUGACGCUGAGGUGCGAAAGCGUGGGGAGCAAACAGG
rnacentral:rRNA from 1 species